AAUAUUAGGUGUUGAUGAUGUAUCAUUAUAAUUAAUAGACCUUCAAGAUACAAAGGUAUAAAAUUCCUUAAAAAUAUCAAAUGAUUAAAAAAAAUUAAAAAAGCUAUGGUGGACACUCAACAAUAUCGUGAUACCUAAGACUUUUAAAGUUAAAAUAUAAAUUACUAAGUUGGCUAAUGGAAUAGUUUUUGAAAGACAAAAAAAAUUAUUAGAUAUGAGAGCAAAGUGAAAACU
rnacentral:lncRNA from 1 species